rnacentral:rRNA from 1 species
CCUACGGGAGGCAGCAGUGGGGAAUAUUGCACAAUGGGGGAAACCCUGAUGCAGCGACGCCGCGUGUGUGAAGAAGUAUUUCGGUAUGUAAAGCUCUAUCAGCAGGGAAGAAAAUGACGGUACCUGAUUAAGAAGCCUCGGCUAACUAAGUGCCAGCAGCCGCGGUAAUACGUAGGGGGCAAGCGUUAUACGGAUUUACUGGGUGUAAAGGGGGCGUAGACGGCAGCACAAGUCUGGAGUGAAAUGCCGGGGCUUAACCCCGGAACUGCUUUGGAAACUGUGCAGCUAGAGUGCAGGAGAGGUAAGUGGAAUUCCUAGUGUAGCGGUGAAAUGCGUAGAUAUUAGGAGGAACACCAGUGGCGAAGGCGGCUUACUGGACUGUAACUGACGUUGAGGCUCGAAAGCGUGGGGAGCAAACAGGAUUAGAUACCCCAGUAGUC